AUUGAACGCUGGCGGCAGGCCUAACACAUGCAAGUCGAGCGGGGUUUUCGGACCUAGCGGCGGACGGGUGAGUAAUGCGUAGGAAGCUGCCCGAUAGAGGGGGAUACCAGUUGGAAACGACUGUUAAUACCGCAUAAUGUCUACGGACCAAAGUGUGGGACCUUCGGGCCACAUGCUAUCGGAUGCGCCUACGUGGGAUUAGCUAGUUGGUGAGGUAAUGGCUCACCAAGGCGACGAUCUCUAGCUGGUUUGAGAGGAUGAUCAGCCACACUGGAACUGAGACACGGUCCAGACGCCUACGGGAGGCAGCAGUGGGGAAUAUUGGACAAUGGGCGCAAGCCUGAUCCAGCCAUGCCGCGUGUGUGAGGAAGGCCUUCGGGUUGUAAAGCACUUUCAGCGAGGAGGAAGGGGUGUGUGUUAAUAGUACACACCUUUGACGUUACUCGCAGAAGAAGCACCGGCUAACUCUGUGCCAGCCGCCGCAGUAAGAC
rnacentral:rRNA from 1 species